rnacentral:sRNA from 1 species
GUUGGGCAUGGUGGCACAUGCCUGUAAUCCCUGGAACUCAGGAGGCUGAGGCAGGAGGAUUGCAAGUUCAAGGCCAGCCUCAGUAAUUUAGUGAGGCUCUAAUCAACUUAGCAAGACCCUGUGUCAA